GGUCUCGCCUGCCCAGUGACUCUUUAAACGGCCGCGGUAUCCUAACCGUGCAAAGGUAGCAUAAUCACUUGUCCCCUAAAUAGGGACUGGCAUGAAUGGCUAAAUGAGGACUAAACUGUCUCUUGCGGACUGGCCAAUGAAAUUGAUUUUCCAGUACAAAAGCUGGAAUGUACCCAUAAGACGAGAAGACCCUGUGGAGCUUAAAAACCAAAUCACCCAGCAUGCUCAUUGGAUUUUUAGUUGGGGCGACUUCGGAAUAUAAUAAAACUUCCAAAAUAAAUUAAUUACAUCAAGAUUAACAUAUCAAAAUUUCUUUGUAGAUCCAGCAACUAAUUUUAUUUGUCUGAUCAAUGAACCAAGUUACCCCAGGGAUAACAGCGCAAUCUCCUUUUAGAGUCCAUAUCGACAAGGGG
rnacentral:rRNA from 1 species